GUAGCUGAACGUCAGCACGGGGCCAGAAAGGAUCUGGUUGUGCCCGAGUUUGUACACCCGCAAAACCCGCCGCUACCACCGCCGGUGGCGGUGUGGAUUGUAAAAGCCGAGCAAACUUACACAUGAUGUUGCGCACCAAAUGCGCCGUACUUGGGCACAAGUGUAGAUCAAAAACCUGGAUGAAACCUGAUGAGUUGUCGAGUGGGGCUUCACUGCUUAAUUGUGCUAGCUGAUGGGCAACUAAUGAUGGUGAAAAUGGUUCCACAAUCUGGCAAGGCAUAGGCAGCUCAAAACUUUCUCAAUUUUCCGAAUCAUUUGAACAAGCAAAGCUGGUGUUAGUGAUUGAUUGCUUUACUAAUUAAUAAAAAUAACCAACAACAUUAA